rnacentral:lncRNA from 1 species
AACUUCUACUACGAGCGGUCUACUCCGAACUUCUACUACGAGCAGUUUACUCCGAACUCCUGCUACGAGCAGGCUACUCCGAAUUCCUACAGCGGGCGGUCUAUCCCGGAUCUCUGCUGUAAGCAAAUUUCAUUCGGGCCUCUACUGUAAACAUAUUUUUUCCAAACUUCUAUUACAGGUAAACUUCAGCCGAGCUUCUUCAUAGCCGGAUCCCAGAUGAGCUUCUACAAUGGGACAGGAUCCACCGGCCAGGUUGCUACUCCGAGCUCCCACGACAACCGAUCUUCGACCGAGCUUCUACCAUAAGCGGUCUCCCUUCAGCCUUCUACA